rnacentral:rRNA from 1 species
UACAGAGGUGGCAAGCGUUGUUCGGAAUUACUGGGCGUAAAGGGCGCGUAGGCGGUCUUAUAAGUCCCGUGUGAAAUCCCUCGGCUCAACUGAGGAACCGCACGGGAAACUGCAAGGCUUGAGUUCGGGAGAGGGACGCGGAAUUCCGGGUGUAGCGGUGAAAUGCGUAGAUAUCCGGAGGAACACCGGUGGCGAAGGCGGCGUCCUGGACCGACACUGACGCUGAGGCGCGAAAGCUAGGGGAGCAAACGGG